UACGUAGGGUGCGAGCGUUGUCCGGAAUUACUGGGCGUAAAGAGCUCGUAGGUGGUUUGUCGCGUUGUCCGUGAAAACUCACAACUCAAUUGUGGGCGUGCGGGCGAUACGGGCAGACUGGAGUACUGCAGGGGAGACUGGAAUUCCUGGUGUAGCGGUGGAAUGCGCAGAUAUCAGGAGGAACACCGGUGGCGAAGGCGGUUCUCUGGGCCGAUACUGACGCUGAGGAGCGAAAGCGUGGGGAGCAAACAGG
rnacentral:rRNA from 1 species